AAUCCAUAGGUUAAUGAGGCGAACCGGGGGAACUGAAACAUCUAAGUACCCCGAGGAAAAGAAAUCAACCGAGAUUCCCCCAGUAGCGGCGAGCGAACGGGGAGGAGCCCAGAGCCUGAAUCAGCAUGUGUGUUAGUGGAAGCGUCUGGAAAGGCGCGCGAUACAGGGUGACAGCCCCGUACACAAAAGCGCAUGUGCUGUGAGCUCGAUGAGUAGGGCGGGACACGUGGUAUCCUGUCUGAAUAUGGGGGGACCAUCCUCCAAGGCUAAAUACUCCUGACUGACCGAUAGUGAACCAGUACCGUGAGGGAAAGGCGAAAAGAACCCCGGCGAGGGGAGUGAAAAAGAACCUGAAACCGUGUACGUACAAGCAGUGGGAGCCCCACCACCAAAGCAUUUGCUGUACCGCGUUGACGGAGCGAAGCGACGUCAAACCGAUAAAACAGCAGUGUAAAGUGAGCCGCAGGGCGCUUUGCGCGACAGCGCAAAGGCAGGCGGUUUCGCGUAGCGAAAGCGAAUGCUUUGGGGUGGGGUGACUGCGUACCUUUUGUAUAAUGGGUCAGCGACUUAUAUUCUGUAGCAAGGUUAACCGAAUAGGGGAGCCGGAGGGAAACCGAGUCUUAACCGGGCGUUAAGUUGCAGGGUAUAGACCCGAAACCCGGUGAUCUAGCCAUGGGCAGGUUGAAGGUUGGGUAACACUAACUGGAGGACCGAACCGACUAAUGUUGAAAAAUUAGCGGAUGACCUGUGGCUGGGGGUGAAAGGCCAAUCAAACCGGGAGAUAGCUGGUUCUCCCCGAAAGCUAUUUAGGUAGCGCCUCGUGAAUUCAUCUCCGGGGGUAGAGCACUGUUUCGGCUAGGGGGCCAUCCCGGCUUACCAACCCGAUGCAAACUGCGAAUACCGGAGAAUGUUAUCACGGGAGACACACGGCGGGUGCUAACGUCCGUCGUGAAGAGGGAAACAACCCAGACCGCCAGCUAAGGUCCCAAAGUCAUGGUUAAGUGGGAAACGAUGUGGGAAGGCCCAGACAGCCAGGAUGUUGGCUUAGAAGCAGCCAUCAUUUAAAGAAAGCGUAAUAGCUCACUGGUCGAGUCGGCCUGCGCGGAAGAUGUAACGGGGCUAAACCAUGCACCGAAGCUGCGGCAGCGACACUGUGUGUUGUUGGGUAGGGGAGCGUUCUGUAAGCCUGCGAAGGUGGCCUGUGAGGGUUGCUGGAGGUAUCAGAAGUGCGAAUGCUGACAUAAGUAACGAUAAAGCGGGUGAAAAGCCCGCUCGCCGGAAGACCAAGGGUUCCUGUCCAACGUUAAUCGGGGCAGGGUGAGUCGACCCCUAAGGCGAGGCCGAAAGGCGUAGUCGAUGGGAAACGGGUUAAUAUUCCCGUACUUGGUGUUACUGCGAAGGGGGGACGGAGAAGGCUAUGUUGGCCGGGCGACGGUUGUCCCGGUUUAAGCGUGUAGGUGUGUGUUCCAGGUAAAUCCGGUUCACUUUAACACUGAGGCGUGACGACGAGGCACUACGGUGCUGAAGCAACAAAUGCCCUGCUUCCAGGAAAAGCCUCUAAGCAUCAGGUAACAUCAAAUCGUACCCCAAACCGACACAGGUGGUCAGGUAGAGAAUACCAAGGCGCUUGAGAGAACUCGGGUGAAGGAACUAGGCAAAAUGGUGCCGUAACUUCGGGAGAAGGCACGCUGACACGUAGGUGAAGUGAUUUACUCAUGGAGCUGAAGUCAGUCGAAGAUACCAGCUGGCUGCAACUGUUUAUUAAAAACACAGCACUGUGCAAACACGAAAGUGGACGUAUACGGUGUGACGCCUGCCCGGUGCCGGAAGGUUAAUUGAUGGGGUCAGCGCAAGCGAAGCUCCUGAUCGAAGCCCCGGUAAACGGCGGCCGUAACUAUAACGGUCCUAAGGUAGCGAAAUUCCUUGUCGGGUAAGUUCCGACCUGCACGAAUGGCGUAAUGAUGGCCAGGCUGUCUCCACCCGAGACUCAGUGAAAUUGAACUCGCUGUGAAGAUGCAGUGUACCCGCGGCAAGACGGAAAGACCCCGUGAACCUUUACUAUAGCUUGACACUGAACAUUGAGCCUUGAUGUGUAGGAUAGGUGGGAGGCUUUGAAGUGUGGACGCCAGUCUGCAUGGAGCCGACCUUGAAAUACCACCCUUUAAUGUUUGAUGUUCUAACGUGGACCCGUUACCCGGGUUGCGGACAGUGUCUGGUGGGUAGUUUGACUGGGGCGGUCUCCUCCUAAAGAGUAACGGAGGAGCACGAAGGUUGGCUAAUCCUGGUCGGACAUCAGGAGGUUAGUGCAAUGGCAUAAGCCAGCUUGACUGCGAGCGUGACGGCGCGAGCAGGUGCGAAAGCAGGUCAUAGUGAUCCGGUGGUUCUGAAUGGAAGGGCCAUCGCUCAACGGAUAAAAGGUACUCCGGGGAUAACAGGCUGAUACCGCCCAAGAGUUCAUAUCGACGGCGGUGUUUGGCACCUCGAUGUCGGCUCAUCACAUCCUGGGGCUGAAGUAGGUCCCAAGGGUAUGGCUGUUCGCCAUUUAAAGUGGUACGCGAGCUGGGUUUAGAACGUCGUGAGACAGUUCGGUCCCUAUCUGCCGUGGGCGCUGGAGAACUGAGGGGGGCUGCUCCUAGUACGAGAGGACCGGAGUGGACGCAUCACUGGUGUUCGGGUUGUCAUGCCAAUGGCACUGCCCGGUAGCUAAAUGCGGAAGAGAUAAGUGCUGAAAGCAUCUAAGCACGAAACUUGCCCCGAG
rnacentral:rRNA from 1 species